rnacentral:rRNA from 1 species
GACGAACGCUGGCGGCGUGCCUAAUACAUGCAAGUAGAACGCUCAAGCGAGGAGCUUACUCUUCUUGGAUGAGUUGCGAACGGGUGAGUAACGCGUAGGUAACCUGCCUUUUAGCGGGGGAUAACUAUUGGAAACGAUAGCUAAUACCGCAUAACAAUGUAUGACACAUGUCAUUUAUUUGAAAGGGGCAAUUGCUCCACUACAAGAUGGACUUGCGUUGUAUUAGCUAGUAGGUGAGGGAAAGGGUCAACUAGGCGACGAUACAUAGCCGGCCUGAGAGGGUGAUCGGCCCAACUGGGAAUGAGACACGGCCCAGACUCCUACGGGAGGCAGCAGUAGGGAAUCUUCGGGAAUGGGGGGAAACCUGACCGGGCCACGCCGCGUGGGUGAAGAAGGUUCUCGGAUCGUAAAGCUCUGUUGUAAGUCAAGAACGAGUGUGAGAGUGGAAAGUUCACACUGUGACGGUAGCUUACCAGAAAGGGACGGCUAACUACGUG